UGCCUGGCGGCGAUAGCGCGGUGGUCCCACCUGACCCCAUGCCGAACUCAGAAGUGAAACGCCGUAGCGCCGAUGGUAGUGUGGGGUCUCCCCAUGUGAGAGUAGGGAACUGCCAGGCAUU
rnacentral:rRNA from 1 species